rnacentral:tRNA from 1 species
GGGGAUGUAGCUCAGUGGUAGAGUGCUUGCCUGACAUACAAAAGGCCCUGGGUUCUACUCCCAGUACUGCAA